UACGUAGGGUGCGAGCGUUGUCCGGAAUUAUUGGGCGUAAAGAGCUCGUAGGCGGUUUGUCGCGUCGACUGUGAAAACUGGGGGCUUAACUCUCAGCUUGCAGUUGAUACGGGCAGACUUGAGUUCGGUAGGGGAGACUGGAAUUCCUGGUGUAGCGGUGAAAUGCGCAGAUAUCAGGAGGAACACCGGUGGCGAAGGCGGGUCUCUGGGCCGAUACUGACGCUGAGACGCGAAAGCGUGGGGAGCAAACAGG
rnacentral:rRNA from 1 species